AUGUAAUUCAAUUAUUUUAACUGUUUAAAUAAAACGAACAGGACAGAAAUCAACUGGGUUUGAUUUUAAGACGUUUGGAAAGGUCUCAGUAUUUCAAGUAAUAACCUGUUCUCAACAACCUUCUGAAAGGUUAUAUAUAAUUUUCAAUGUACUUCAUUAUGAUAUGCGUAUGAGAUCAUUUCCACCGCGCUAUGCAGUUGUUGAAUGACUGGCUCUGAAGCCAAAUUAUCCGUUCGGAACGAGGAGUUAAAUAUUAAGGAACUCGAUUAUGCAGGAGAAGCGCGUGGACGCGAGGAGGGCUCGAAUGAAAAUGGUUUCGAUGGGAAAUGAAUUAUGCAGCGGGAAGAAAGCGAGGCAGAACGAAGCCACGGGAGAAAAGCCAACCGCGGACUUCAAGCGACAAACUUAGAUGUCCCAUUUCAUGAGUUCACAUGAUCUUCACAAACUAAACCUGGCAAUCUGAAAAACAAAUUUCCCAUUUGGUAUUUCUUUUCUUCAUGUUAAUACGUUUUCUUCGCUUAUGUUUAACACAGACUUGCAUCUUUUUACGCAAAUAC